rnacentral:tRNA from 1 species
GCCUUCGUGGUGUAGCGGUCAGCACGCUCGACGCGUAACCGAGAGUUCCGUGGUUCGAUUCCCGGCGAAAGCG